GCUUUAGUGGUGGAAUUGGUAGACACGUACGAUUCAGGUUCGUAUGCCGCAAGGUGUAAGGGUUCAAAUCCCUUCUAAAGCA
rnacentral:tRNA from 1 species